rnacentral:rRNA from 1 species
AGUGAACGCUGGCGGCAGGCCUAACACAUGCAAGUCGAGCGGCAGCGCGGGGGCAACCCUGGCGGCGAGCGGCGGACGGGUGAGGAAUUCGUCGGAAUCUGCCUUUUUGUGGGGGAUAACGUAGGGAAACUUACGCUAAUACCGCAUACGUCCUACGGGAGCAAGUGGGGGACCGCAAGGCCUCACGCAGAAAGAUGAGCCGACGACCGAUUAGCUAGUUGGUGGGGUAAAGGCCCACCAAGGCGACGAUCGGUAGCUGGUCUGAGAGGAUGAUCAGCCACACUGGGACUGAGACACGGCCCAGACUCCUACGGGAGGCAGCAGUGGGGAAUAGUGGACAAUGGGCGCAAGCCUGAUCCAGCCAUGCCGCGUGUGUGAAGAAGGCCUUCGGGUUGUAAAGCACUUUUGUCCGGAAAGAAAUCCCUGGAGCUAAUACCUUCGGGGGAUGACGGUACCGGAAGAAUAAGCACCGGCUAACUUCGUG